rnacentral:rRNA from 1 species
GUGCCAGCCGCCGCGGUAAUACGUAGGUGGCAAGCGUUGUCCGGAUUUACUGGGCGUAAAGGGUGUGUAGGCGGAUAUUUAAGUGAGAUGUGAAAUCCCCGGGCUUAACUUGGGGGCUGCAUUUCAAACUGGAUGUCUUGAGUGCAGGAGAGGAAAGCAGAAUUCCUAGUGUAGCGGUGAAAUGCGUAGAGAUUAGGAGGAACACCAGUGGCGAAGGCGACUUUCUGGACUGUAACUGACGCUGAGGCGCGAAAGCAUGGGGAGCAAACAGGAUUAGAUACCCUGGUAGUCCAUGCCGUAAACGAUGAAUACUAGGUGUAGGAGG